CUCCUUGUAUAAUCGCAACAAUCACUUAAUUUAAUAACAAUAGCAAUUAAACUCACUACAAAAUAGACAGAAAACAAGGGCCUUCCACUGAAACACUAACACGUUUCAGUUGAAAAACAUCUAAUGAAAAGCAAUUAUAUAUUGAUGGUAGACAUCAAACAGAAGCUUGCUAACCAAAACUGAAUUCUUUCCAUGACCAAAUACCUUAACUAGAUUGUGUUUCGCGGAAAAGAGCUAAAAGUCUCGUGUGGUAAAAUUUGGCACCAACUAAUGCUUUGUUAACAAAGAAUCGCGUGUCAUUUUCUUUUAAUAAGCAUUAAUUACCAUGAAGUUUCUUGAAGAAGCCGGCCACUUGCCUGCCAGGAUAUACUAUGUUUCUUUUUAUCAUGCCAACCAAGUUGCCCACGAAGAACACUGUCCAGUACAUCAGAGGCCUUUUCUCAAACCCUAUGAUAAAAGGAGGAAACUCAAGUCAGACACAUUCCGUAUUUCAGUUACUACAUCUGACAUGAAUACAAACAUUGUAGGUACCUAUUAUGCCACAUAUAUACAUAUAAGAGGCACACUAAUAGGGGCUGAAGACAACUCUGCAUACAUGACCAAUUAGUAUUUAGUCACCAAACAGGCACACAAAGCAAUAUCAUAAACCACUAAUUUGAAAUUUCAAAAACCACAUCUCUGAUAGCGGCAAUGGUAUGAAAAUAGACGGUUCUGUCUACGAAUUUACAUAAAUCAGCAGCAACACGAUAAGCCCUCAUUACUCCUGAAAUUCAAGGGAAAGAAACCAUCUUCAACGCUAUAUAAAUCAGCAGAAAGAAAAAGCAAUUACAUACGGAAAGAAUUAUUUAACAUACAGUGGUAUUGAAUGGCAAACCCUUCGGAUUUCUCUGUGGCAUAUCGUGAAUGGGUCUUUGGCCUUCCCACAUAGAAGAUGGAUGCAAGUCCCGAUGUCAACUCAUUUAGCAAGCAUGAACGUAUCUAAUAAGUGAAAAAAGCAAUUUUUGC
rnacentral:lncRNA from 1 species